GAUGAACGCUGGCGGCGUGCCUAAUACAUGCAAGUCGAGCGAACGGACGAGAAGCUUGCUUCUCUGAUGUUAGCGGCGGACGGGUGAGUAACACGUGGAUAACCUACCUAUAAGACUGGGAUAACUUCGGGAAACCGGAGCUAAUACAGGAUGAUAUUUUGAACCGCAUGGUUCAAAAGUGAAAGACGGUCUUGCUGUCACUUAUAGAUGGAUCCGCGCUGCAUUAGCUAGUUGGUAAGGUAACGGCUUACCAAGGCAACGAUGCAUAGCCGACCUGAGAGGGUGAUCGGCCACACUGGAACUGAGACACGGUCCAGACUCCUACGGGAGGCAGCAGUAGGGAAUCUUCCGCAAUGGGCGAAAGCCUGACGGAGCAACGCCGCGUGAGUGAUGAAGGUCUUCGGAUCGUAAAACUCUGUUAUUAGGGAAGAACAUAUGUGUAAGUAACUGUGCACAUCCUGACGGUACCUAAUCAGAAAGCCACGGCUAACUACGUG
rnacentral:rRNA from 1 species